rnacentral:misc_RNA from 1 species
GAUGAAGAACGCAGUGAAAUGCGAUAAGUAAUGUGAAUUGCAGAGUUCAGUGAAUCAUCGAAUCUUUGAACGCACAUUGCGCCCGGUAGUAUUCUGCCGGGCAUGCCUGUUCGAGCGUCAUUUCAACCAUCAAGCCCCAGCGCUUGUGUUGGGGGCCUGCGGCUGCCGCAGCCCCCUAAAAGCAGUGGCGGGCUCGCUAUCACACCGAGUGCAGUAGUUCAUCUUCUCUCCGGUCUUGUGAGGCGGGUUCCGGCCGUGAAACACCCCACUACAUUCAAGGUUGACCUCGGAUCAGGUAGGAAUACCCGCUGAACUUAAGCAUAUCAAUAAGCGGGAGGA